GCUUAGGUAGCUUAAUAAAAGCAUUGCUUUGAAGCAGCAAGUAUGGACAUAGGGCCCCUAAGCA
rnacentral:tRNA from 1 species